rnacentral:lncRNA from 1 species
GUUAGAGCCUGACUUACCUACUGAUCUUUGUGCUGGCAUUAAAGAAGAUGGGAGGACUACUGUGACUGGUAGGCCAACCAGAAUCAGGUAAUUGUUGGAGAAAGAUGGCUUGGAAAUCUAUCAAUUCCCUGGUAAUCUGCAGGCCACUGUAGCAUAGAGUGUCUUCUUGGGAAUAACGAAAUGGCACCUGCUCCAAAUGGGCUGGAUCCUGUUGCCAGCAGCAACUCCAGGAGUAGGAGGAUUCUUCAUCAGCCAAGGACCAGCCCAGAGGGAGAACCAGUUAACUUAUCUGAAGUUUGGUUUCCCUAGAAGGAGCAAAUGUCAAAAUACUUCAGGAGUGGUCUUGCGCCAGAAUUCCUUUGUGGCUCCAUGA